UGAAGAUAUUAAGGGCACACGGUGGAUGCCUUGGCAUAGGAAGCCGAAGAAGGACGUGGCAAGCUGCGAAAAGCCGCGGUGAGGCGCAAACAGCCUCUGACCCGCGGAUCUCCGAAUGGGGGAACCCGGCUGGGGGAAUGCCCAGCCACGGCAGGGUGAAUACAUAGCCCUGCCCGAGGCAACCCGGGGAACUGAAACAUCUAAGUACCCGGAGGAAAGGAAAUCAACCGAGACUGCGCGAGUAGCGGCGAGCGAAAGCGCAACAGCCUAAACCCGUGCGCGUGUAAGCCUCCAGGCGUUGCCGCACGUGGGGUCGUGGGACUCUCCGUCCCGUCGCUGGAGCGGCGGGGUCGGGUCAGAAACCGACGGUUCAGGGGAACCGGCUGGGAAGCCGGGCGAGACAGGGUGAGAGCCCCGUACCCGAAGGACCGUCGGCCCGAGAGAGAGCGCCCGAGUAAUGCCGGACACGUGAAACCCGGUAUGAACCAGGGGGGACCGCCCUCCAAGGCUAAGCACUCUCCUAUGACCGAUAGCGAACCAGUACCGUGAGGGAAAGGUGAAAAGCACCCCGAGAGGGGAGUGAAACAGUACCUGAAACCGUGCGCCCACAAGCAGUCGGAGCACCUUUGCGCUGUGACGGCGUGCCUUUUGUAGAAUGAGCCAGCGAGUUGCGGUUGGCGGCGAGGUUAAGGCAUGAACCGAGCCGCAGUGAAAGCGAGCCUUUAAGAUGGCGCUCAGUCGCCAGCCGCGGACGCGAAGCCGGGUGAUCUAUCCAUGGGCAGGCUGAGGCAGAGGUAAGACUCUGUGGAGGGCCGAACCCACUUCGGUUGAAAACGGAGGGGAUGACCUGUGGAUAGGGGUGAAAGGCCAAUCAAACCCGGAGAUAUCUCGUUCUCCCCGAAAUAGCUUUAGGGCUAGCCUCGAUCGCUUACCCGCGGUGGUAGAGCACUGGAUCCGUGAGGGGGCCUCAACAGCCUACCGACCGAAACCAAACUCCGAAUGCCGCGGGUCCCGAGAUCGGGAGUCAGAACAUGUGGGCUAAGCCGUGUGUUCGAGAGGGAAACAGCCCAGACCGCCUGCUAAGGUCCCCAAAUCAACGCUGAGUGGCAAAGGAUGUGCGUUUGCCUAGACAACCAGGAUGUUGGCUUAGAAGCAGCCAUGCAUUUAAAGAGUGCGUAACAGCUCACUGGUCAAGUGGACAUGCGCCGACAAUACACGGGGCUAAGCGUUGUACCGAAGCAGCGGACUGUUUUAUCAGUGGUAGGGGAGCUUUCCAUGCCGGGCCGAAGCGGAGAGGCGACUCUCCGUGGACUGCAUGGAAGUGAGAAUGCUGGCAUGAGUAACGAGAGAGGGGCGGGAAACCCCCCCGCCGUAAGCCUAAGGUUUCCUGGGCAAGGCUAAUCCCCCCAGGGUCAGUCGGGAGCUAAGGCGAGGCCGAGAGGCGUAGCCGAUGCGCAACAGGCGGACAUUCCUGUACCACCAGCCAUCGUUUGACGACGGGGCGACGGAGAAGGGUAGCCGGGCGGGGUUCUGGACGUCCCCGUGAAAGCGCGUAGGGAGCGGCUCAGGCAAAUCCGAGCCGCGCAUGUCCCGAGACGCGAGACGAAGCUUUUAGUGAAGCCGGCGAGCCCAUGCUUCCAAGAAAAACCCCUAAGGAGAGGGGCUGGUGCCCGUACCAAAACCGACACAGGUAGGCGGGUAGAGCAUACCAAGGCGAUCGGGAGAACCAUGGUUAAGGAACUCGGCAUACCGACCCCGUAACUUAGGGAGAAGGGGUGCCCCCGGGGGUGGAAGGACUUGCUCCUCGAGCCCGUGGGGGUCGCAGUGAAGAGGCCCAAGCGACUGUUUACCAAAAACACAGGACUCUGCCAAGCCGCAAGGCGAAGUAUAGGGUCUGACGCCUGCCCGGUGCUGGAAGGUUACGCGGAUGAGUUAGCGCAAGCGAAGCCCUGAAGCCAAGCCCCAGUAAACGGCGGCCGUAACUAUAACGGUCCUAAGGUAGCGAAAUUCCUUGUCGGGUAAGUUCCGACCUGCACGAAUGGCGUAACGACUUGGGCGCUGUCUCAACCAUGGACCCGGUGAAAUUGUAUUAUUCGUGAAGAUGCGAAUUACCUGCGGAAGGACGGAAAGACCCCGUGAACCUUUACUGCAGCUUGGCAUUGGCUGUUGGUGCGGUGCGUAGAGGAUAGGCAGGAGCCUGCGAACCGGGGACGCCAGUUCCC
rnacentral:rRNA from 1 species